UUCUCCUUCGAUCUUUUUUCCUCCAAACAUUUUCUUUUCGUAAAAAGCUAAUGCCUACUUCAUUUUCUGCCGUUGCUUACUACGGAAUUGAGAGAUUUCGAGAGAGAAAUCAGUAAAGCACCGAUGGUAAUAGAGAUCUAAUGAUCGUUUUAGACUGAAUUUGAACCAGAUCAAGAAGAAAAUGAUGUCUCUAUGGUUCUGAUAUGGAUUAUGUUGAUUAAUGGGUUUGACUCAGAUUCGUUGAGUGGAAGAAAGAGAUUUCCGAUUCAAAUUUGAACCACCAGCAACACCAUCACCAUCAGUAACACAACCAAUUUCAUUCCCACCAAAAGAACCUAAUCUUUAAGUCGAAUCCGCUUUCCCUUUUCCGUCCGAACCCUAAUUUGUUGAUCCUGGGGAGAGCGUAACAAACAACACUAAGGAACGUGAACAUUUGCACCUCUUGAACACGUGACCACUAGUACCAAGUUGCGGAGACACAUUACUAUUCAAACACUGAAUAGAGAAAGAGUUUGACUGCUAGUGUGGUUGUUGUUUAGGUUACAACAUAAAUUAACUAGAUACCAUUCAAUUUCAGUCGAGAUUUUAUAGGGUUCGUUUUUGUUCUUGAAUAAAUAUUUCAGGGUUAGAUUUUCCUCAUUGAUUGUUAAAGACGAUAUGCGUGAGAUUUUGGGUAAAGGAACAGAGGGGAGUCCCACCGUGGCAGUGGUCAUCUCGUAUUUCAAUUAGUUUAACAAAUUAACAAAUUUUGGAAAGAACUUUGUUCUCAAGAUUUAUGAGAAGGUUGAAGAAUUAAUCUAUGAUGAUUUGGAGGGUAAAACAAUCUGGGCAUGGCGUUCGCCUUCAGAUGUCAUCAUGAAAUGCUUCAAAGUGUAGGAUGAGAAGUCCUCGACUUCGAGAGCUAGCUCGACUUCGAGAGCUAGCUGAGAAUGAGAAAGAUGAACAAAGAAAGGCGUGUAAUGAAAGGUGACUGGGGUUUCCUGUCAAUUUGGUUCGUUUCGAAUUUGAAAUGGGAAAUGGUGAUACUGCGAAUGGAUCCUUGUGGUGAUUUAUGUCAGGGAAAGAAUUAAGAGUAGUGUUGUUGUUGUUGUAAACAGAAGUGAGGCUGGAGUUUGAGGUGUUGCAGGUGGUGGUUUGUUGCUCAAGAUGGAUUAGAAGCUUGGGUAUGAAUGGUUGCAGGUACUGGAAUUAACUGGCCUGAGCUGGUGUUACUGGUGUUGCAGAUAGUGGAAUUGAUGCCGCUGAAUUGUGUGGAAAGAUGGAGUUGAUGUCAUGUGCAAUACAGGGAGGACUGGGAAGUUGAGAGCGGAGAUGCUAUGAAGCUACGGAUAUUUGAUGCUGGUAUUUAGAUGUAUGCAAGAAUGCAUGUGCAGAAACUGAUGUUGGUGGUGAACUUAGAUGUAUGAUUAGGUUUCAGAUAUAAAGUUCAGGUGCAAGACAGAUGGAAUUGAAGCAGGAAAUGGAUGCAGCGAUGCAACUGUUGAGUUAGAGUUACAGUAAGAGCUGGUGAGGACAAUUGCAGUUGAAGCUACAAGAUGGCAGUAGUGAUCUGGUACAGUUCUGAUAAUACUACAAUAUAGAGUUGAGUUGGUAGAAGCAACUGAAAGAAGAGUUGAGAAGAAUUAACAGUGAAAUGGGCAUGGUGUCGCUGUUGCAGACAAUAAGGAGAAGUGGAUUGAUAUUGUAGCUGAAGUGCAGGCUAUGGAUUGAGGUGGUACUGAGAUGAAGAUGUUGUUGUUGCAGGAUGAACAACCACUAUGGCUGGAAGUGAAGUAGUGAUGCACCAUGAUGGUGCAACACGGACUUUGGCCCUUGCAAAUUGGCAGUUGGCCUGGCAAUUCUCUCCACCCAGAUGAGUCAGUUAGCUGACUCUAGUUAGCAUUAGCUGACUCAAUUCCCUGACUCACCCGAUGAUGUCACUGAGUUGAUUCAUCUUGACUCGGUUUAACUUUGAUCGAGAUGACUCGAUUGACCGGUGCGGCGGUGACUGUUUAACUUGCCGGUCAUCUGAGUUAUUUUCUGAUACCUCUUCCGGCAAGGUUCUGGUGACUGAAGAAUCUCUAAAAAAUUGAAUAGAUUUUUUUUUUCACAUUGUCAACUUAAUACAAUUUUGUUUUACAAAUUAGAAUUAUGAUAAAAUUUGUCUGAACAUCUCU